rnacentral:rRNA from 1 species
UACAGAGGGUGCGAGCGUUGUCCGGAAUCACUGGGCGUAAAGGGCGCGUAGGUGGUGGCUUAAGCGUGCGGUGAAAGCUCGGGGCUCAACUCCGAGUCGGCCGUGCGAACUGGGCUCACUGGAGCAUAGUAGAGGCAGGUGGAAUUCCGGGUGUAGCGGUGGAAUGCGUAGAUAUCGGGAGGAACACCUGUGGCGAAAGCGGCUCACUGGACCACAACUGACGCUGAUGCGCGAAAGCUAGGGGAGCAAACAGG